rnacentral:rRNA from 1 species
ACGGGAGGCAGCAGUGGGGAAUAUUGCACAAUGGGCGAAAGCCUGAUGCAGCGACGCCGCGUGAGGGAUGACGGCCUUCGGGUUGUAAACCUCUUUCGCUCAUGGUCAAGCCGCAACUCAAGGUUGUGGUGAGGGUAGUGGGUAAAGAAGCGCCGGCUAACUACGUGCCAGCAGCCGCGGUAAUACGUAGGGCGCGAGCGUUGUCCGGAAUUAUUGGGAAUAAAGGGCUUGUAGGCGGUUGGUCGCGUCUGCCGUGAAAUCCUCUGGCUUAACUGGGGGCGUGCGGUGGGUACGGGCUGAAUUGAGUGCGGUAGGGGAGACUGGAACUCCUGGUGUAGCGGUGGAAUGCGCAGAUAUCAGGAAGAACACCGGUGGCGAAGGCGGGUCUCUGGGCCGUUACUGACGCUGAGGAGCGAAAGCGUGGGGAGCGAACAGGAUUAGAUACCCUGGUAGUCCACGCUGUAAACGUUGGGCACUAGGUGUGGGGGCCACCCGUGGUUUCUGCGCCGUAGCUAACGCUUUAAGUGCCCCGCCUGGGGAGUACGGCCGCAAGGCUAAAACUCAAAGGAAUUGACGGGGGCCCGCACAAG